GAAUAAAGAGAAAUCAAGAUUGGGGUGGUGAUAAUGUCUGGUCCAUUAACCGGAACCAUCUAUAGGGGAGGCAUUUUAAAAUCAUGAAGAAUUUAAGCACAACUAAUGCAUCUGGAGAUAUAAUUUUAGACACUGAAAAAUGCCAUGAAAACAACAAGAGAGCAUGAGCUUUGCUUGGCAGCAAAUGAGAUAUCUAUAAAAUCAUAGCAUAAAAAAAAAUGUAUUUAAGAAUAGAAAAGCAUAAGGAAAUAUCUACCUAGAUGAAAAGCUCGAGGGCAAC
rnacentral:misc_RNA from 1 species